AGCGGCUCUCUGGUCUGUAACUGACGCUGAGGUUCGAAAGCGUGGGUAGCAAACAGGAUUAGAUACCCUGGUAGUUCCCCCCGUAAACGAUGAAUGCUAAGUGUUGGAGGGUUUUCGCCCUUCAGUGCUGCAGCUAACGCAAUAAGCAUUCCGCCUGGGGAGUACGACCGCAAGGUUGAAACUCAAAGGAAUUGACGGGGGCCCGCACAAGCGGUGGAGCAUGUGGUUUAAUUCGAAGCAACGCGAAGAACCUUACCAGGUCUUGACAUCUUCUGACAAUCCUAGAGAUAGGACUUUUCCUUCGGGGACAGAAUGACAGGUGGUGCAUGGUUGUCGUCAGCUCGUGUCGUGAGAUGUUGGGUUAAGUCCCGCAACGAGCGCAACCCUUAUUGUUAGUUGCCAGCAUUAAGUUGGGCACUCUAGCAAGACUGCCGGUGACAAACCGGAGGAAGG
rnacentral:rRNA from 1 species